rfam:Zea mays cultivar B73 chromosome 5, whole genome shotgun sequence.
AUGACUAGAGCCGCUCCGAGUAGCCAAGGAAGACAUGCCUACACUAUACAUGCUCAGCGUCACAAGAGACUGGCUCUCAGGCAUGUAGCCAUAGCCCAUGCAUAUAUACCUAGGCAAGUCAUCCUUGGCUACUGAACGAAUCAGCUCUGGUCC